CCCUACCAACCCCAGUUUUUCCCUCUAUAAAGCUGGUGUACAUAUUAUAUAUUGGUAGAGUGGUCCUUGAAAGUUUUUGGAACACCCUUCUUCUUCAUCUUCAUCACUAUCUGUGUUUUUUUAGAGCUUUUGUGAGACCAAAUUUAGUGAUUUUUUUCCCCUUCUUUUUUCUUCUUUUAAAGUUCUGAUCAUGCUUUUCCACAGCUUUCUUGAACUUUCUUUGUUUUCCAUCAUAAAAGAAUUAGCUAAUAGCUAGAUACAUGUAUAUAUAUGUGUAUGUAUAUACCAUGGAAGCUCAAGAAAGCUGUGGGAGAACAUGAUGACAAUUCAGGACUUGCUUUUUUUCUGGUUUAAGUUAGAUAUAUACACACUGAAGACGAACAAGCUUUUCUCAGAAUAAAGGUUUCUGAUGCUGAAUUACAAGGUGGGUUUUCCAUCUUUUCAUGAAUAUUAUAUAUAUAUAUAUAUAUGUUUUUCAUGAUGAUUUUAUACAUUUCUUGCCAUGCAUGAACAUGGAGACAAUAACUAGACUUUAAUUUAUGUGAAAUUGAGCUAAAUCAUCUUCUUCUUUAAAAAUUUUUAAACACUAAUCUUUGUUAUUUCCAGCAUUUUAAUUGAUUCAAAUUGUUUUCUUUUUUGACAAUCAACAAAGUUGAUAGUUCUUACUGUUUGUCCUUUGCUCUUUCACUCUAAUUACUAUGUGGGAAAAAAUAGUCAACCUUUGGUUUCACUCUCUUUCGAUCCAUAUAAAUAUCGUGUUUAUAUUUUAUAUAAUUUUCUCAUUUUUAAUAAUUUAUCUUCUCCUACAAUGAGUUUCUUGGGUUCUUCUUGCUCUCUCGGAUUGUUUAACCUACAUAUCUUAUAUAGGAUUAAUCCUCUAAGACCCUUUUUUUCUUUUAUAACGAUAAACCAUGCAUUAAUUCAUAUCGAAUUUCUCAUAUAAUAUGUUCACUGUAUUUGAGUAACACCAUUACUAUCACCAAAAUUUUAAAAUUCCGACCUCAAACAUGUUUAAACACAUGAUAGCAUUUAAUGUUAUCACUAUGAUAUCAUAAUUUACACAACAUUUCGUACAUUCUUGAAAUGGUGGCGGAUUUUUUUUAUUUUUAAUUUUUUUUGAAUACCCUAUUCCAAUUUUAAGUUUAUUGAAUAUUCAUCCAAAAAACCAACAUUGGUGGACAAAAGAAUAGGUAAGGGACAUGCAUAAAGUUUAUCUACCUCUUCUUCCCACCUACUUUUUCUUCCCUUUGUUUUCAUUUGUCUCUUUUUCUUUUUCAUUUCGUGUUUAGGUUUCAUCUAAUUUUAUUCCAACGAGUAGAUCAAUGGGUACCAAGGAUUAAAUUGAACUAUUAAAUUUAUUGUUGUUAAUUAGCACGUAUAUCCUUUUAGGCGAAGGAAAUUUAGUAAAUAAAGCAGUGAUCUACAAUUAAAGAGAAGGGUGAGAAGAAUCUAACAAGAUAUAGAAAACCCCAAAAAAGAAAAGAAAGGGGGGCUAUAAUUAAGGUGUAAUCAAGAUUGAAUAAGGGACCAUUUUGAAAGAAAAAAAAAAGAUCAUAAUUGAGUAUGAUAAGGAAUCUUUACCUAAUUCAAAGAAGGCUUUGAAACAUACGUAAUUUUGAAAUGUUUAGCUACUCCUGUUGAUCUAUAAAUUGGGAUUUUUUUGGAGCUUGAAAAAAUUUAUGUUUAAAUUUUAUUUUAUAUUUAUAUAAAGAAGUAAGUGUAAUUGGGAAGACAGAGGGUGAUGGUGAGCACAGUAGGAAAUAGUUAACAAGAAAAUAAAAGCAAUGGUAUAUGACUUUUAUUUUAUAUAUAUAAUUUUGCUAAUAUUAGAUAUUAUCUAGCUUUCAUGAAUUGCUGCAGUGCAGCUUUUAUUUUAUUUUUAAUUUUUUUAUUAUUAUUCAGAAUGAAUUCAAUUAUUGAGAAAGCAUGGGGAAAAGGUGACAAUAAUUCAAACACUUUUAUGCAUCUGCAAUUUACCAUUUCAAGCUGCUAUAUACUCACAUUGUAGCUUUUAGAAUUAAAUAAAGAUCAUAUGUUUUUGUUUAUUUUUUAUUUUUAAAGUUGAGAGAUCUCAUGUGAUCAGGGAGAUUUUAAUGAUUUCUCAUCAUCAUGAUUCUUAUUGUGCAUUCCUUGGUUGAAUGGUGUAAUUGCAACUUUAAUCUAUAUUUCAAUUUAAUCCUUUUAGACUCUUUAUUGAAUGGAGAAUUUUCAUUUUUAGCUCCUCUUAGGAGUCGAAAAAUCAAUUUAAACCACCUUAAUACAUACAUUUUAGCUUUGAGCAUCCAUAGGCACAUACCUCCCAAACACUUGAAAGUGUUAUAAAGUAUCUCAAAUCCAAGAAACAAAGAGUGUGGACGAAAUUUCCCAUCCAUUGGAAUACAAGUUGAAUUUUCUUUUUGGGUUUUUUUUAUAGAGGGGCAAUGAAAAUAGACUAGUGGUGGCACAUCAACACCCUCAAAAGAAAAUCAUACCCUUUUUCAAGUUAAUUAUUAUUGUCAUUAAAAGAAAGCAAUAGUGGAAAAUUUUCUUUUAAGUUUUUCCUUCUUUUUCUUUUUUAUCCCUUUCAAACUAUUCUACGCAAUUAAGCAAACAAUGCAAGUACUAAAUCCACAAGUGAGAUUUUGUGGGGGAAGGAUGAAGGGAGGGCAGCCGUUCAUGUUUUUGUACACAUUUGAAUCGAUACAUACAUCCAUUCGUUGUAGUUUCACUUUGUUGUUGUAUUCUUGCUAUUGAAUCCGAUGUUGGUGGUCCAAAUAAAAUGUUGAAAAGUUGAGAGGUAAAUGUGAAGAUUUUGUUUUGAAAAAGUUUAAAUUUAAUAUUUGCUAAUUCAAAGAGUUUAAA